rnacentral:lncRNA from 1 species
AAGUGGAUUUUGUCAGUUCUGCUAAUAUGUUUGUUUGUUGUUCUUAAUUUUCCAAGUUUGGCAUGGUAGAUUAGACCCUUGAUUUGCUUCAUAGCAUCUCCAUGUGCUGUUUACAAUAUACGCACUUGAAAUUUAAGAUGUGUGUCCUUGUUCAUGGCUAAUUGCUUUCUGCAAUUGAAUGAGAACUGCACAUGUUCUUCUUUACGAUGCUGAUAAGGUAAGUUUUCUUAGAGGCUCUGUCAGAAAUGUCACAUAACAGAUUGAAUGACAGUGUUUUCGUUUUGAUUUUUAUAAGUGAGAUAUUGACUGUCAAGUGUAGAAAGACAUACCUUGAUGUAAUUCCAUGCACUUGGUCUAUAUCAUAGAAUAGAAAAAUAUGCUGUCAUUGUCCUACUGCAGCUACUAGGAUAGACAUCAUGGAAUCUGUGACCUGGUUUCCUAGAAAAUUAUUUCAAUUGUCUCACCUCGGAAGCUAUAAAAUUUUAUUACUAGUUAAACCUAAAAUGUUUUUGCGCUUACUAAAACUUAUAUUUAUAUGGAUGAUCUCAGCAUAAGAUGAAUUUACAUUUACCCCUCGUUCACAUAUACGCUUAACAUGGGAAUUCACAAUGUCAGUGAAAAGCUUGUUAUCCUCGAACAAUCUUACAGAAUCAGUUUUAAAAAUAUGGAUGUGCAUUGCCAGUUAUCAGCUGUAUUGGCUGCCAACAUUUUCAAGGAAUUAACUUUAUAGUGCACUCUGAGGUAUCAGAUAAACAUGCAUAUCUAGAUAUUAUCAUCUGCCAGUUGGGUUAUAAAGUAUGAAGCAGUUUGUUCCACUCAACUUCUUUAUAUUUUUCUUUUAGUUCCAGAAUGUCAGUCAUUACUAAAUUCAUUGCUGCUGUAAAUGCUCUGAUCUUAUAGACUUGUGAAUAAAUCUUUGAGCAUCUGCACUGGAUGUUUUGUUACUCAUAAAACUGAGUGGUUAAGAGUUACUAUUACAAUUGCUAUACGUGGUUUGUGGUCAGCUCCACAGAUCCAUGCUAGUCUUGUAAUUAUGGGGAUCUGAUGGGGAGAGAAUUCGGAGGAAGGGAGGAGUAGCAGGAUCUAGAAGGCAAUUUCAAGAUACUGAAAAUAUCAGAUUUCAUCUAAAAGGCAUACCUAGCAUCAUGAAAAAAUUGCAGGAUUUAAGGUCUCCAUGAUGCUUUGAUGUUUCCCUCCCUGAGCCCUCUUUAGGCCAGUAUCCACCCAUGUGUGAGAUGUCACAUAAAUAUGCUAGGCAGAAUCCAUGCAUCCCGAAAUUGCAGAAAUUAGGUAAAUAUGGUAUUCCAGUUUUUUUUUAAAAUUAUUUUUUUCCUUGCACUUGCUGACUUGCAGUUUGCACUAAUAAACAUGAUUUUUGAUGGUCUUCCAUCACUUAAUUAGCUAA